rnacentral:rRNA from 1 species
UACAGAGGUCCCAAGCGUUGUUCGGAUUCAUUGGGCGUAAAGGGUGCGUAGGCGGCGCGGUAAGUCGGGUGUGAAAUCUCGGGGCUUAACUCCGAAACUGCAUUCGAUACUGCCGUGCUUGAGGACUGGAGAGGAGACUGGAAUUUACGGUGUAGCGGUGAAAUGCGUAGAUAUCGAGAGGAAGACCAGUGGCGAAGGCGGAUCUCUGGACAGCUACUGACACUGAGCACGAAGGCCAGGGAGCAAACGGG